rnacentral:rRNA from 1 species
UACGGAGGGUGCAAGCGUUAUCCGGAUUCACUGGGUUUAAAGGGUGCGUAGGCGGGUAAGUAAGUCCGUGGUGAAAUCUCUGAGCUUAACUCAGAAACUGCCGUGGAUACUAUUUGCCUUGAAUAUUGUGGAGGUGAGCGGAAUAUGUCAUGUAGCGGUGAAAUGCUUAGAUAUGACAUAGAACACCAAUUGCGAAGGCAGCUCACUACACAAUCAUUGACGCUGAGACGCGAAAGCGUGGGGAGCGAACAGG